rnacentral:rRNA from 1 species
UAAGAAAAAAAAGUUACCUUAGGGAUAACAGAGCAAAAAUUUUUUAGAGAUCAAAUCAAGAAGAUUAAAUGCUACCUCGAUGUUGAAUUAAGAAAACAUCUAAUAGAAGAAAAUUAGAUUAUAGGUCUGUUCGACCUUUAAAUUCUUACAUGAUUUGAGUUAAGACCGGUGUGAGCCAGGUUGGUUUCUAUCUUCAUAAUAGAGGUUUUUAUAGUACGAAAGGACCUA